rnacentral:rRNA from 1 species
GACGAACGCUGGCGGUGUGCUUAACACAUGCAAGUCGAACGGCAAGGCCCUGCUUUUGUGGGGUGCUGGGGUGCCGAACGGGUGAGUAUCACGAGAGUAACCUGCCCUUGACUUUGGGAUAACUUCAGGAAACUGGGGCUAAUACCGGAUAGGACCCCCUCUACCGGGUAGGGGGUGGGAACUUUUGGGCGGUGGGGGAUGAAUUGGCGGCUUAUCAGUUGGUUGGUGGGGCGUGGGCUGACCGAGCCUUGCGCGGUUCGCCGGCCGGAGAGGGUGACCGGCCACCUUGCUACUAAGAGACGCCACAGACUCCUACAGGAGGCAGAAGGGGGAAACAUUGCACAAUGGGAGCAAGCCGGAUGCAGAGACGCGGCGUGCGAGAUGACGUCCUUCGGGUGGUAAACCGCAUUCGCCUGUGACGAAGCGUGAGUGACGGUAAUCGAUGAAGAAGCACCGGCUAACUACGUG